rnacentral:lncRNA from 1 species
CCGCGAAUGGCGAUCAACGCGUGGUUUGUUAAGUGGUCAAUUGGAGUAGCGGCGGGAGAUUGAAAUGAGAGUUUAAAUGCCGCGUUUGACCUUGGAUUUACAAUCUCUACUACAGGUGUUACGGCUGUGUAAAUCUCAGCCACGUAUUAUAUAUUAUAAAUGCAAAUCUAUAAAUAUAUCGCAUAAAAAGAUAUUUCAACAUUUGAACGUUGAUUUAUACGCCAUUGUUAUCGUCAUCAUGGAAUUACGGUGGUGAUAAUUACGAAACUACACCCUACGUCAUAAGCAUUCGUUACGACAUAACAUCACGUACAAAUAUAGUUUCCUACUUAAAAGAAAAAUAAAAUAUUCUAACGACUCUAACAAGUUGAAACUAGGCCAAAAAGGAGUGGAAAUAUUUGAAUUAAUAAAUAUUUUAAAAAAAUACGACUACCACAUCACACGUAAGAUACAUUUAAGUUGGCAAAAUUUUGAUCAUUCAAUUGUUCCUUCUCUCAACUGCAAUAAAUAAUAUUAAUAUAUUACCGAGAGAUACUAAAGAAAAUAGAAUUGAGAAAAUGAAAUGACUUUACGAACAACUUCAAAUAUCAUCGGGAGGAAUUUACUUUUCUUCUUCGAACGUUACGUGAAAAUAGAAAAGGUAGCUAUUAAAAAUAGUAUCCCAGUACUCGUUUAACGUUCGAACGAAGAUUCGAGGGAGGGAAACUUUCCUCAAAAUAAAAAGAAGAGAAGAAAAAAAUAAAAAACAUAAACGAGACAAAUUAGAGCAUACCAAUCAGUGACGCGAUCAAAACGAAAUUUCUUCGGACCGUAUAAUUGAUUGGAAAUUAUUCUUCGCGCCAAGA